rnacentral:ncRNA from 1 species
CUGUCACAACGGCUUCCUGGCGUGGCAGCAGACCAUAAUGGAGCA